rnacentral:rRNA from 1 species
CAUGACGUCAGUAUGUGGACUUCCCUACGGGGCAUUGGAGACAGGUGGUGCAUGGUUGUCGUCAGCUCGUGUCGUGAGAUGUUGGGUUAAGUCCCGCAACGAGCGCAACCCCUAUCCUUAGUAGCCAGCGGAAUGGCCGGGCACUCUAGGGAGACUGCCAGGGACAACCUGGAGGAAGGUGGGGAUGACGUCAAAUCAUCAUGCCCCUUAUGGCCAGGGCUACACACGUGCUACAAUGGCGUAAACAAAGGGAAGCGAAGCCGCGAGGUGGAGCAAAUCCCAAAAAUAACGUCUCAGUUCGGAUUGUAGUCUGCAACUCGACUACAUGAAGCUGGAAUCGCUAGUAAUCGCGAAUCAGAAUGUCGCGGUGAAUACGUUCCCGGGUCUUGUACACACCGA